AGACCCGUUGACUGCUCGUGCUUAGGAGUCUACGCAGGGUUAGCUGUUUGCCAAGAUCACGUGGAUAAGCAAGCAGUUUAUGAUUUGAAAGCUGGUCCACUCCGAUUCUUUUGAUUCCUCGGAGGUUUUUAUGUUAUUUAAACUAGUUACUGUUUUCGAACUCUUAGACCGCAGUAGAACUAGUUUAUAUAUUACAUUCAAUAUUACACUUUGGGAUUGUCGAAUUUGAUCGACUAUUUAUUAUUGGCAUGUUUACUCUAGAAUACUUUAUUAUUAUAUUUAAAGCAUGCUGUGGAA